ACAUCAAAAACAUUUGGGAUAUAAGUGGCUCCUUUUGAAUCUUUUUCAGGAGGCUCAGUUUUCAUCACCUGUUUUUCUACCCUAUUAAAUACCAGUAACAUUUGAUUUACUAGGUCAUUCUGCAGUGAAAAAGAAAUUCUAACACUUUAGUUUUUUUAAUAAAUUUUAUUCAAAUUUUGAAAAAGUUUAGUC